rnacentral:rRNA from 1 species
CGGAUUAGCGGCGGACGGGUGAGUAACACGUGAGUAACCUGCCUUAGACAUUGGGAUAGCCUCGGGAAACCGGGAUUAAUACCAAAUAAAAUCAUAAUGACACAUGUCAUAACGAUCAAAACUCCGGUGGUCUAAGAUGGACUCGCGUCCCAUUAGCUAGUUGGUAGAUUAAAAGCCUACCAAGGCGACGAUGGGUAGCCGGCCUGAGAGGGUGAACGGCCACAUUGGAACUGAGAAACGGUCCAA